GGGGAUGUAUUUGGUUUCGACAGUAAUGCCGAUAUAUAAAUAGCGAGUGGUGGAUUCGCUUGGCCACCUUAAAAAAGCGAAAAAUUAAAAUAAACGCUGAUAAUAGAGAAUUAGCAUUAGCUGCCUAAGUGCGGCUACGUUCUUCUAGAAAGUCCUACGAUUUUUAGUUAGAGCGUCAAACCUCGUAGGAAACAAAGCUAUUAAUGUUUCUAAAAUAGUGGGUAUAACUCGAAACUACUAAAAGUUUAAAGUUUGUUUAUUAACCUAAACUUUUGGGAAUUUUUAUUUAAUAAACUGCACUCGGAGAAGUUUAUAUGGAAGUGUUAUUGGACAGGAGUUCGACUCUCCUCAUCUCCACCA
rnacentral:tmRNA from 1 species